GACGAACGCUGGCGGCGUGCUUAACACAUGCAAGUCGAACGGGAUCCAAAGGCUUUUUGUUUUUGGUGAGAGUGGCGAACGGGUGAGUAACACGUGAGUAACCUGCCCCCUUCUUUUGGAUAACCGCAUGAAAGUGUGGCUAAUACAGGAUAUUCCAGGCUGGUCGCAUGAUUGGUUUGGGAAAUGGUUUGGUCUGGUGGGGGAUGGGCUCGCGGCCUAUCAGCUUGUUGGUGGGGUGAUGGCCUACCAAGGCGGUGACGGGUAGCCGGCCUGAGAGGGUGGGCGGUCACACUGGGACUGAGAUACGGCCCAGACUCCUACGGGAGGCAGCAGUGGGGGAUUUUGCACAAUGGGCGCAAGCCUGAUGCAGCGACGCCGCGUGAGGGAUGAGGGCCUUCGGGUUGUAAACCUCUUUCGCUGGGUUGAAAGGCCAUGCUUUGGGUGUGGUUGAUUUGAACUGGUAAAGAAGUACCGGCUAACUACGUG
rnacentral:rRNA from 1 species